rnacentral:lncRNA from 1 species
CUCACACGUAGACUCCUUCUGCUCACAUUUCUCAACACAACCUUAAAACUUCUCUAAUCCAUCCUAUACUUCUGACUGCUGGCUCUGCAUCCCUCUUACUCAUAGCUCAUUGAUAGUGAAGCCUAUCCCUGUCCAUGGACUUCCAGUCUAAUCUUUCUUUUCACCACUUUCUCAUGUAAUUCCUCAAGAUCACUUUAUUCCAAUGUCUCUUACUUUGCUUCAUCCUCCCCCAACCUUAUGUCUCUAUUCCACCAUGCUACAUAGUAUUUCCCUAUGCAACCCAACUUACAAUGUCACUCAGCCACUCCAGAGCCAACAUGGCAUCUUCUUUCUCUGCAGAAGCUCCCUUCUCCACUGCCUGAUACCCCUAUUCCCACCUUCUGCCUCCCUGUCCCCCUCACAUCCAAUAUGAUCAUAUAAUCUGAGGGGGAGGUUGAACUGGCCCUUUCCUUCCCCUUCUGGACUUCACUUCAGUGUCCCAGAUGCAGAAGAGCAAUUCUCACUCCAGUCCUCAUUGGAUCAGGCAUAUUGGCAGCAUCUGGCAUGUGGAUAGCAGGACUAGGUACAGCCAUCAUCUUUAU